rnacentral:rRNA from 1 species
AUUGAACGCUGGCGGAAUGCUUUACACAUGCAAGUCGAACGGCAGCACGGACUUCGGUCUGGUGGCGAGUGGCGAACGGGUGAGUAAUGUAUCGGAACGUGCCCAGUCGUGGGGGAUAACGUAGUGAAAAUUACGCUAAUACCGCAUACGAUCUAGGGAUGAAAGCGGGGGAUCGCAAAACCUCGCGCGAUUGGAGCGGCCGAUAUCAGAGUAGGUAGUUGGUGGGGUAAAGGACCACCAAGCCAACGAUCUGUAGCUGGUCUGAGAGGACGACCAGCCACACUGGAACUGAGACACGGUCCAGACUCCUACGGGAGGCAGCAGUGGGGAAUUUUGGACAAUGGGCAAAAGCCUGAUCCAGCCAUUCCGCGUGCAGGAUGAAGGCCCUCGGGUUGUAAACUGCUUUUGUACAGAACGAAAAGGUUUCUACUAAUACUAGGAGCUCAUGACGGUACUGUAAGAAUAAGCACCGGCUAACUACGUGCCAGCCGCCGCCGUAA